CGGAGGCGGGUACAGGCCAUUUUCCCACCAGCCUGGUCCAGGUGGCCUGGAGGCUGCAGGGGUCGUCUGGGAACAGGUCCUGCCCCUGAUUGAGGCAUGAAAUCUGGGUCUCUCAGACCUGACGGACUUUCGGGAUCAUCUUCCUAGGUCCCCACAAAGUGCCUGAAGACAGGAAACAUUUGGUGUGCUUGACGGGGACUAUGAGAUCUUAUGGCAUCUCAAAGGGUAGAAGUCUGGACAGGAAGACCAGUUGCAUGGUAGAGGGAAGUAUCCUAACCUGGAUGAAAUAUAUGCUGAAUUCCUCUGUUUAUCCUAAAAGCUAAAUCCCUGAUAUAAACUUGCUUUUUCAUGUU